UUGUUGUAUAAAAGGAGAGAAGGUUAGCACUCCAAGGAAGAGGUCCUAGUGGCCUGCAACACAUAUAUGGUUAAGGCACUGCCACCUACUUAAUGGCAUCUCUAACCAAGUUUUUGU